GCCUCGGUAGCUCAAUGGUAGAGCUCCUGCAUAUACAUAGUGAGCGAAAGCGCCUAGCAACAACCAGCAGGUGGUCGCAGGUUCGAAUCUUGCCCGGUUGGCU